UACGGAGGGUGCAAGCGUUAUCCGGAUUCACUGGGUUUAAAGGGUGCGUAGGCGGAUUGGUAAGUCCGUGGUGAAAUCUCCGAGCUUAACUCGGAAACUGCCAUGGAUACUAUUAGUCUUGAAUAUUGUGGAGGUUAGCGGAAUAUGUCAUGUAGCGGUGAAAUGCAUAGAUAUGACAUAGAACACCAACUGCGAAGGCAGCUGGCUACACAAAUAUUGACGCUGAUGCACGAAAGCGUGGGGAUCAAACAGG
rnacentral:rRNA from 1 species